rnacentral:rRNA from 1 species
UACGUAGGAUCCGAGCGUUAUCCGGAUUUACUGGGCGUAAAGAGUUGCGUAGGUGGCAGAGUAAGUUAGUAGUGAAAGCGUGUGGCUCAACCAUACAUCCAUUACUAAAACUACUCGGCUUGAAGAUGAGAGAGGUCACUGGAAUUCCAAGUGUAGGAGUGAAAUCCGUAGAUAUUUGGAGGAACACCGAUGGCGUAGGCAGGUGACUGGCUCAUUCUUGACACUAAGGCACGAAAGCGUGGGGAGCAAACGGG